rnacentral:rRNA from 1 species
CCAAUAGCGUAUAUUAAAGUUGUUGCAGUUAAAAAGCUCGUAGUUGAACUUCGGGGUCUACCCAUUGGUCAGGCUUAAUUGUCUGCACUGGUGAGAUGGAUCUCUACCUUCUGAGGAACUUUCAUGCCAUUUAUUUGGUGUGAUGGGAAAUCAGGACUGUUACUUUGAAAAAAUUAGAGUGUUUAAAGCAGACUAUCGUCUGAAUACAUUAGCAUGGAAUAAUGAAAUAGGACGGACUGAUUCUAUUUCGUUGGUUUCUAGGAUCGACGUAAUGAUUAAUAGGGAUAGUUGGGGGCAUUAGUAUUCAAUUGUCAGAGGUGAAAUUCUUGGAUUUAUUGAAGACUAACUACUGCGAAAGCAUUUGCCAAGGAUGUUUUCAUUAAUCAAGAACGAAAGUUAGGGGAUCGAAGACGAUCAGAUACCGUCGUAGUCUUAACCAUAAACUAUGCCGACUAGGGAUCGGAUGAUGUUAAUUUUUUAAUGACUCAUUCGGCGCCUUACG